rnacentral:rRNA from 1 species
GACGUAGGGCGCGAGCGUUGUCCGGAAUUACUGGGCGUAAAGAGCUCGUAGGUGGUUUGUCGCGUUGUCCGUGAAAACUCACAACUCAAUUGUGGGCGUGCGGGCGAUACGGGCAGACUGGAGUACUGCAGGGGAGACUGGAAUUCCUGGUGUAGCGGUGGAAUGCGCAGAUAUCAGGAGGAACACCUGCGGUGUAGACGGCUGGCUGGACCACUACUGACGCUGAGGCACGAAAGCGUGGGGAGCAAACAGG